rnacentral:rRNA from 1 species
AGUGAACGCUGGCGGUAGGCCUAACACAUGCAAGUCGAACGGCAGCACAGUAAGAGCUUGCUCUUACGGGUGGCGAGUGGCGGACGGGUGAGGAAUACAUCGGAACCUACUUUUUCGUGGGGGAUAACGUAGGGAAACUUACGCUAAUACCGCAUACGACCUACGGGUGAAGGCAGGGGAUCUUCGGACCUUGCGCGAUUGAAUGAGCCGAUGUCGGAUUAGCUAGUUGGCGGGGUAAAGGCCCACCAAGGCGACGAUCCGUAGCUGGUCUGAGAGGAUGGUAGGCCACACUGGAACUGAGACACGGUCCAGACUCCUAAGGGAGGCAGCAGUGGGGAAUAUUGGACAAUGGGCGCAAGCCUGAUCCAGCCAGACCGCGUGGGUGAAGAAGGCCUUCGGGUUGUAAAGCCCUUUUGUUGGGAAAGAAAAGCAGCAGGUUAAUACCCCGCUGUUCUGACGGUACCCAAAGAAUAAGCACCGGCUAACUUCGUG